rnacentral:tRNA from 1 species
GCUCCCAUCGUCUAGUGGCCUAGGACACCGCCCUCUCACGGCGGCGACAGGGGUUCAAAUCCCCUUGGGAGUACCA